UGUGAUGUGUUUGUGCACUUUACGCUUAAUUUCAAGUUGAUUGUGAUGUACUAAGAGAAAGUACGUGAGAUUUCGCCUACGCACAGUUUGAUACAUCCAGAUUUUUUUUGUGCGUCUGGAACAUUUUAAUAGGAAGUUCACGCAAGUCUCAGUCUCAGUGAGACCCCUGAUACUGAACCAACAGCAGCUCCAGACCAUUACAUAACCCCAAACUGAGGGACGAGUGAAUGAAAGCGAUUGUGAUGGCAUGGACCUUUAUUUUGCUUUUUGCUGUGUUCCACUUCCUGGAGCGGCCAUUUUGUCUCUUCCUGGUUAGGCUUAUUGUUGCUGUUUUCCCCCCUUCAUGUAGUGGCUAAUUAGCAAAAUGGUUUCUUCCAUGCUCUGAUUGGUUUAGGCCCUGUUAAUUAGCCCCUUUGGCCUCCUUAAAGCAGACAACACAUGCACCCUUGCUCUCCAUUUUGAUUGGCCCCUCUAGCUGCUGCUGGAAGCUCCUGUUUGAAGCCAAUGCUGUUCAUGCUUUUAAGGUAAUGAUUACUGUUUUUAAGUACUUGAUUAAAAGCUAAUGUGUUAGUCCUUUGUUAGUAUUUCUUAUCUUUUGUGUUUAAUGACUGUUUGUUUUAUUAUCAGUUCCUGACUAUUGCCUUGAUUUUAUGUACGGUAGGCCCAGCCAUUCGGGUUUUAAGGCCCCUUGGAUGUGUGGAUUUAUGCAGUGGUGUUCAGUUGCAUAAAGAGCCCUGUGUUUUAAUUGAAUAACUAUAUUCUUGAUUUGGUACCAAUGUUUUAAUGAAAGUAAAAAUAAAUGUGAAUGAGAUUUCUAUUUUGUGUGGAAAAUAAAUUAAUUGUUUUGGAAACUUG